AGAGUUUGAUCAUGGCUCAGGACAACGCUGGCGGCGUGCUUAACACAUGCAAGUCGAACGGUGACCCAGGGCUUGCCCUGGUGAUCAGUGGCGAACGGGUGAGUAACACGUGGGCAACCUGCCCCUGACUUCGGGAUAACUCCUCGAAAGAGGAGCUAAUACCGGAUACGACCACUUCGGACAUCCGAUGGUGGUGGAAAGUUUUUCGGUCAGGGAUGGGCCCGCGGCCUAUCAGCUAGUUGGUGGGGUAAUGGCCUACCAAGGCGACGACGGGUAGCCGGCCUGAGAGGGCGACCGGCCACACUGGGACUGAGACACGGCCCAGACUCCUACGGGAGGCAGCAGUGGGAAUAUUGCGCAAUGGGCGAAAGCCUGACGCAGCGACGCCGCGUGAGGGAUGAAGGCCUUCGGGUUGUAAACCUCUUUCAGCAGGGACGAAGCGAAAGUGACGGUACCUGCAGAAGAAGCACCGGCUAACUACGUG
rnacentral:rRNA from 1 species